CCAACGGCCCUUUUAAGGGCCACCACAUUCUCCAAAGAGCAAAUUU
rfam:Folsomia candida strain VT population Fcan01_Sc001, whole genome shotgun sequence.